rnacentral:rRNA from 1 species
CCUACGGGUGGCAGCAGUGGGGAAUAUUGGGCAAUGGGCGCAAGCCUGACCCAGCAACGCCGUGUGAAGGAAGAAGGCCCUCGGGUUGUAAACUUCCUUUGUCAGGGACGAAACAAAUGACGGUACCUGACGAAUAAGCCACGGCUAACUACGUGCCAGCAGCCGCGGUAAUACGUAGGUGGCAAGCGUUAUCCGGAUUUACUGGGUGUAAAGGGCGUGUAGGCGGGAGAGCAAGUCAGAUGUGAAAUUCCAGGGCUCAACCCUGGAACUGCAUUUGAAACUGUUUUUCUUGAGGGAGGGAGAGGCAGGCGGAAUUCCGGGUGUAGCGGUGAAAUGCGUAGAUAGACGGAGGAACACCAGUGGCGAAGGCGGCCUGCUGGACAUUAACUGACGCUGAGGCGCGAAAGCGUGGGGAGCAAACAGGAUUAGAUACCCUAGUAGUC